GACGAACGCUGGCGGCGUGCUUAACACAUGCAAGUCGAACGGAAAGGCCUUUUCGGAGGUACUCGAGUGGCGAACGGGUGAGUAACACGUGGGUGAUCUGCCCUGCACUCUGGGAUAAGCCUGGGAAACUGGGUCUAAUACCGGAUAGGACCGCACUUUAGUGUGUGUGGUGGAAAGUUUUUUCGGUGUAGGAUGGGCCCGCGGCCUAUCAGCUUGUUGGUGGGGUAAUGGCCUACCAAGGCGGCGACGGGUAGCCGGACUGGGAGGUUGGUCGGCCACAUUGGGAAUGAGAUACGGCCCAGACUCCUACGGGAGGCAGGGGUGGGGAAUAUUGCACAAUGGGCGCGAGCCUGAUGCAGCGACGCCGCGGGGGGGAUGACGGCCUUCGAGUUGGAAACUCCGUUUGCCAGGGACGAAGCGUUUUGUGACGGUACCUGGAGAAGAAGCACCGGCUAACUACGUG
rnacentral:rRNA from 1 species